rnacentral:siRNA from 1 species
AUUGUCGCUCUAUUCGGGUACCA